UACCAGCAGCCCGAGUGGUCGGGACGAUUAUUGGGCCUAAAGCAUCCGUAGCCGGUCCUGCAAGUCCUCCGUUAAAUCCACCCGCUCAACGGUUGGGCCGCGGGGGAUACUACAGGGCUAGGAGGCGGGAGAGGCAAGCGGUACUCGAUGGGUAGGGUAAAGUCCACUGAUCCAUUGAAGACCACCAGUGGCGAAGGCGGCCUGCCAGAACGCGCUCGACGGUGAGGGAUGAAAGCUGGGGGAGCAAACCGG
rnacentral:rRNA from 1 species